GAUGCGUCACAGAACAAGGCACAAGAGACUAUUUUGGUUAGGCAGGGACUAGGCUCAUAGAAGUGACACCCCAGCAGGGAGCAAGGGUUGUGUUGGGACAGCCCUGUGGGUUCCUAGGGGUGAAUCAGUCCAGGAAGAGGAAGCCCGAGCACAGAGCAUGAAUGGAAACUCCAGGAAGGCUCAUCACUUUGAAGGACCACUUGAAAGAACCAGAAUAGUCUCUCUGUGCCAAGACGCAAGACGCUCAUUCACAUCUGUACGGUGCUUCAGUUAUAUAAGGCUCCCAGUGCCUACAGAAAGCUAUUUUGGGUGAAGAUACAGUGUCCUGACACCUCUCUUUCUGAAAACUCCACACAGCUACUGAAAUGAACAUUUCCAUCUCCAUGGGCUCACAGACCACUGAGUAACAGAAAACACUGUUGUAUUUCUGCCGACCAGCAUUUGGAAGCAGCCAGUCCUUCAAUCCCAGCCUACUCCAGUCCUCCUUGAGGAAAGAGUCACGGAUCACUCACUCGUCCCUGCCGUCCUCUGACUACCGUAAGGUCUCGCCCAGGGAGAAAAACCUCAACUGGAAUCACAGUGUUGCCAUUUCUGUUGGAUCCGAGGUGGUUUUGCAUCGAUUGGCAGUCCAGCAGUUUGUGCCCGGUGCCCAGAUCUGGAGACAACAAAAACAAUAACUUUUUUUUCCCAAAUAUCUUUUUGUGUAUGGGUAUUUUGCCUGAAUGCUUGUACGUGUACCACGUGCAUGUCUGGUGCCCGCAGAGGCUAGAAGAGGGGACAUCGGAUCUGGACCUCGAGCUACAGAUGGUUGUGAGUUGAUAUUUGGGACUCAGUACUCCAUCCUCUGUAAGUGCGCCUAACCACUGAGCUACCUUUCCAGUCCCUAGAAUGGUUCUUCUUGUUGUUGUUGUUUAAAUAAUAGGUCCAAAAUGUUGUCUUGGUGCCUCCACCUACAUCCAGCUGUAAACUGAUAACAAGGCUCCGGCCAUUUCAGAUCAGAACCCACAUGCUAAUGCUUUAAUCAUGCAUUUACCUCAACCUGAGAAAGCCAACACUCCCUGUGUUCUCUUCUGUGCGUUAGACAGGGUGAGAAAGAUGUGAUGGUUCAGGAAAGAGGUGGCAGGAGCACACCCAGUGCAGAACAACACGAGACAGGAGGAAUAAGCAUGAUGUAGCAGGAGCUCAAAGGAACCGAACGGCACAUAUGGAAAGGCAGACCGUAGGAGGUGGAAUGGGACUGCUGAGAGCAGAACGUUAGAAGAUUGGUUAAGACACAGAAGGCUUGGGCUAGGCUAGAGAAAAGAAGAACCGCUAAACUUUACCCAAUGCGGGGGGCACAGAGAGUAGAAAGGGUGGACUAGAAAGAUGGACCGGAGCCAGGCAGAAUGGACUUCAAUUAUACCCUGCCAGCUAAGGGAGCCAGGAGCUUUUAGCCCGGGAAUACUUUAAUGUAUAAUCAUACGUACUUUUAAUGGAGCAUUACCAUCCAGGAAUAGACAGGCAUAGACUAGCAGAAGAGGCGUGGAGGAGACAUAGUAUUGGAAGGGUGGAAAGCUCAGAAAAGCUAGACAAGAUUAGGGAAACCACCGCCCCCCUCCCACCCUCCCCCCAAACCCCUGUCUCUAUAGGCACAUGCCGGAGUGUGCAUACGGAGGCAUCUUUAUUGACGGGCCAUCUCGAUGGGCUCUCGGGUGAGACUUUAAGAGGAACUGGCGGUUUACCUGAGGUUGUAGGUGGUAGGGUUAAGGGAGAGCAUCAGGCAGUUGCUCUGUAGCACGAGGACAGGGAGCCAUUUUCCUUGGGUCAGCAUUGUUGACUGGGGAAAUUCAGGAGUUUUGUACACACUGUUAAAUAGGAGAAUGUGAACCCAAGACCUGUUUUUUUCUCAGACUCCCUUUGGACACCUUGCUUUGACUGCUGAAUUCCAAAAUUAGGCCUGAGCUGUCUAGUUCUGCGCUCAAGUGUUCUGUGAGGCAGCAUUGGAAUCGCUGCUUGCUCUGAGCCUUGCCAUCUACUGUCCAAAACUGAACAAAAGGGGAUGGUAAUUUUGAAUGUUUUUUUUUUUUCUAAAUAGCCUUUUUUUGACAACAGUAGACGUUUUAAUUUGUAUUGUAACUAAAAUUAGAACGCAGAGACUUGGUAAUAAGAUGUGUGAACAAAGACCUCCAAAGUUUGAGGCUCUAACAUAGCACACACCAAAGCCUGUGACUGAGAGUUAGUCCCUGGCCAUCAUACCAUCUGCCUGGAGACUAAUUAAAGGUUUAAAAAUAGAUGAUCUCUGCAAGGCAAAUAAAAUGAAAAUAAUGGGAGGUGUUGAUCUAAAUCUCCUAAGCCCACGCCACAGAAAACAGCGCCAUGUUUUGGGCACUCUAUUAAGAUGAGAGAGUAAGACAAUGCCUCAAUGAGAGAGAGAUUCAGAAAGUAGCACCUGCAAAGGGUGGGAGGGCCAGGUUACUGAGAGACACUUCCAUAGGUCUCCUUUCAAAUGGUUACUGCUGGUGAUCAAUAUUUAAACACUAUCUUAUAACCACACACAAGAAAUGAACCUCUUCCCAAGGCUAUUCUAAAGUAUAAUUAUAAAUAUACAACACCCUCUCCCCCACAGUCUACGCCGUUCCCAUCUUUGCUUUGUAACUGGAUUUCUUGACAAGUUGCCUGCACAUGCGAUCUUCAUGUCCACAUCCUAUGUGCUUCCUCUGUCCUGCAGUUUGGCUUUUUAACUCUUUUAAUGCCAACAAAGUCCUUCUCAGCAAGGUUACAGAUGGCCCGUGUCACCCUAAGUGUGCCAAGAUCUUGUGGAAGAGCUCUUGUUAUGACGAUUAAGUUGUUUCACCUAAUAUUUAGGAGUGCCUCUGCAUGUCUGAGCAAUGUGCCCAAUUUUCAUCUUUCAUUGGCCCAAGCACAUCUUCUGGCUAAAAGUCCAACAACAGAUUUUUUUUUUUUAUCAUUUUCAGUAAUUGCAAAGUCAACAUGUUUUUACUCCUUCACUUUUACAUGACAAAUCCAGAAGGCAAAUAAAAAGAAUGAGGAAAGGUGUCCUUUAUUUUUAAGUUAGCAAAGCCAUGUAUAUUUAUGAUCCAUGUGCACACGCACAUCAAGGACACUGAUAAAAUCUCUUGGUAAUUUCGAGCACACAAAAUAUUAAGGUUAGUCAUGUUGUGCACUAGAUUUCCUGGACAUAUUCCUCCAUCUAAUUAAAAUCUGUAUGCAAGCCUGGCAUGGUGGGAUGCACCUGUCGUGCCAGCUACUCAGGAAGCUGAAGCUGUUCCAGGAAACCCUGGGACUCAUAGGCAGAACCUGUUUUUAAAAGAGGGUGAGGUGGGAGGGGGCAAGGUGCUUUAGCAGGUAAAGGUGACCAAGCUUGAUGGCCGAACUUCAAUCCCCAAGGACCCACACAAUGUACAGAGAGAGUCAAUGACCACUGGUUGUCUUCUGACCUCCACACAUGUGCUGGGGUGAACAAAAUUUUAAAGGGGGGUAAGAAGCAAGGUUGCCUUGUGUCCUCUGAUACUUUCUAAGUUUCCACCCCAGUUCUUUGUAAGUACCAUUCUAACUGUUCUCUGCUCCUCUUGACACUUUUACAGACAUGGACCAUUUGCUGGUGCUUGGCUAAUUUCACUUAGCACACUUCAGGUUUGCUCAUGGCCUUGCCCCCACCAGGCCCAGCACUGGAGACAGAACUCAUCCCUGUUCCUUACUUUGCCACUGAACCACACUCCUGGCUCCAGAUUUCCUUUUCUAAUAGGCUGGAUAGUGUUCCACUUUAUAUACGUACCACCUUUUCUUCAUCCAUUCUUCUGUUCACAGACACAUAGGUUCAUUCUGUAUCGUGACUAUUGUGAAAGAUGAACACCAGAGGGCAGGUUUUUCUUUUAAGUUUUAAAUUUACAUUUAUUCAUUUUUGUCUAUGUACAGGCACACACCUCACUUGAACCUGUGGAGGUCAGAGGACACCGUGGGGAAUUAUUCAUCUCCUAUACACCAGGUGGAUCUUGAGCUCAAACUCAGGUUGUCAGGCCUGCCAGUGAGCUCCCUUAUCUGCUGAGCCAUCUCAGUGUCAGGGGCAUGGUUUUCUUCACCAUACGGAUUCCAUUCCCUUUGGAUAUAUAGUUAGAAGAGGCACCACUGAAUUACACGGUGUUCUGCCCUGUCAUUUUGGAGGAUGUUAUUGUUUUCCAUCAUGUCUAUGUUGAUUUGCAUCCCCAUUAACAGCAUAUUUAUGGUCCCACGUCACCACCUCCACUCGUGACAUCUUGCCUUUACAGCUUCUGCAGGAUCAUUAAUACAUGUAAUGUCAUGUUCAGGUAUUUGGGCAGAAGAGAAAGCCAAUGUUUGAGGUAAUAGUUCUCAAACUGAAGAAGAAAAGAUAAACUGGACCAGGGGAAUAUAUUUGGAAAAAAACUUAUCUGGAAAAACACCGUUACUUAAAUAUAUAAAGAAUUCUUGGAACCUAACAACAAGAAGAUCUGAUUUUUAAAGACUGGCCAAAGACAUGAAAACACACAUCUCACUAAUAAUUCCUAUGUGGAUGAUGAUAAGCAUAAAGAUGCUGCAGAAAAAAAAUUAACAAAAAUUAAUUAAAAAUUUUAAAAUUAAAAAAUUAAAAAUUAUAGGAUGUCAUCUCACUAGGUAACCACAGAAUAGUCAAAUCCAGAACACUGUCAGCACCAGUACUGCCAAGGACCUGGGUCUUCUAACUCCCACACAAAGCUGGAGGGAAGAUCCAGUCACUGCGUCCCUUGCCACUGACCCAAAGGGAUUCAGAACUUACACCUCAGCCAAUGAAAUAUUCAGCAACAAAAAAGGUCAUCUACUAGACCAUGACUAUCAGAGGCACCUCCAUGCACACUGCUAAUAGACGAACAUCCUUAGCACUGAGCAUUGGACCAGCCCCUAGCAUUGUUUGGAAAAGAGCUCUUUCUAGCUCUUGUGGUCAAAAUGUAUCAGUGGAAAAAAAAUGUGAUUUAAAUAGACUUUAGGUCUACAGCAAGCUUGAAUAGAAAAAACAGAAUUCCCAUAUUCUCUGUACCCACCCUCCAAAAAUAUAACAACUACCUCUGCCCCUACCAACAUUGUACACCAAAGACUAUAGUUUAUAUUCAGGCUCACUCGUGCUGUUCAGACACAAACCAACAUGGAUCUGCCCCUGUGGAAUCGCACAGCAGGGUCCCAAGGUCCUUGAAAUCCUGAGCAUCACUAACUCAUCCUCCCUGAGCCUCUGUGACCGUUCACCUUCACCUGCUUGCACAGUUUUGCUUUUCCUAGAAUGCCCUAUUUGGGACCAUAUAGUAUUUAGGAUUUUCCUCGAGUACCCAGGUAAAAGCUGGGCAGCUAUCAUUCCAGUACUGUGGGGUGGGGAGACAAGUGGAACCCUGGAGCGCACUGGCCAGCCAGUGGAGCUAAAUAAAUAAGACUCGGUGAGAAACCCGUUCUCAAAAUAUAAAACAGAACAAAACGACAACAACAACAAACACAAAAAAUGAGAGCAAUUGAGACAUCUGACACACAUUUCUGGUCUCCACAUGUAUGUGUAUAUGUGUUCAGGUGCAGCUACAAACACGUGUGACACACACAAAGUCAUACAUAUAACACACAUACACACAAUUUUAAAAUGUUAAAUGCUAAAGGCCUUCAAACGACAGGCAGAUUGAAUAAAAUCCACAAGCAUUAGAUAUGAAUAACAGAAUAACAGUCUUUCCCCCACAUGUGAGGUCUGACAAUUUCUAACAGCCAGAAAUGAAGUCAGGAAACUGGGGGGGGGGGGGGGAGAAAGACUCUUGGCACGAGGAAAACUAUCCUCAAAGCCCACAGACAGAAACCAACGCCUAUCUGCAGCACUUGCAUCUGAAAAAUACCUUCAGUGAGCUCUUGAGAGCAAGACUGCAUCCCAUAUAGGAAAUAAACUUUACCCAGGUAGAAUUAACUGGAAUGAGUCAAUUUUUACUAAAGUAGGGCUGUCUGAUGUAGUCCAGCCUGGCUUUGAACUUGUGACCCUCCUGUCUGCUUCUGGAGUAUUAGUUUCAGGUAUACACACCUAACCCCAGUUAAUAAUUCUCUACCCUGAAUACGUAGGAGCACAGCGGUUCCACCACUGAGAGAGUAAGAGGACCAGGAUCCUAGUCUUCUUUUCUGCCAAUAACCAGCAGGAUAAUUUUGAUUUUUAUCUGAGCCGCCUUCUGUAAAGAUUACAAAAAUCCUUCCAAGUUGUAAACGUCAAACAACAAACACGUGGUUGGAAGGGAAAGGUGAAGUGCACCGCGAACAAGGAUCUAUCACUCCACACUUACCGGGCCCACCUUUCCUGGGCUGAUCCAGGCGAAGCCUGGAACAUGAAGAACAGAGAGAGUAAAUGACUCAAUCUUCACCUUUGGGGACUUCCCACCCGGUGAGGAGGCCAGGCAACAACCAACCAAUAGGGCAUGUUCCUCUCUCGGGAAGUUACAUUAGAACCUCAGGACGAAAAGUGUUAGGAGUCAGAAUAUUUCAGGCAAGGGAACUUUAAAGUUCCUAAAACAGGGAAGACUUGGGGUGAUGGUGGGGGAACUGGGGAAAAUAAAAGGCAAAAGCAGAAAUCAUUACUAAAGAGAAGAAUACAAGUCUUGAUGGAGUAGGAAGGAUGGUAGUCUCUGAGCAAUCUUAAGUCUCCACCAGUUCUGAAGGGCCUUAAGUAGGUUGGCAACACACACCAUGUGGACUAGAGCACUAGGAAGUGGGAAAUCAGAAAGUUAUCAUGGGAAUGGAAACAAGUAUGGCGGCCUAACUGAGCCCUCCAUGACAUCCCAAGUGGCAGACGGGAGGAGAGACCUAGGGAUCUGAUGGUAGUGGCGUUAGUAAGGCUUAUUAGUCCCUUCAUUUGCAUGUCUGAGGAGAAGAUGAGUCAAGGGCUCAGAAUUCAUGUAGUCCAAGUUACUAACUCUGAGACAACAAAGGGAAUUAAGAGUAAUUUGAAAGAAAAAGCUCACUUGAGACAGGGUGGGAGUGGACAUCUUAUGGAGGAACUGACAUCCUAGCAUGUUGAUAGCAUGUUUGCCUUUGCUCACAAUGAUUGUGUGUGUGUGUGUGUGUGUGUGUGUGUGUAUUCCCCUCUAAGAAUCAACCUUUUCACCAUUGUAUACACGUCGCCUAGCAAAAUUCCUGGGCUCACACUUUGUAUGCCAAUAAACAUUUAAACGUGUUCCUGAAAAUAAACUUCCUGGUUGGUCAUGGUGACUCACGUUUAUUAUCUCAGGAUGCUGAGGAAGGACGACAGUGAGUCCGAGGCCAGCCUGGGCUACAUACACAGUGAGACUGCCUCAGAAACAAACAGAAAGGGGAGGUGGUAUAAAGACUCAGUAGCUGAAGCGUUUGUGACCAAAUCUGCUCACCAGAGUUUGAUCCCCAGGACCUGGGUAGAAAGGAUAGAAGCAAAUUGUUCUCCUGUCUUCAGGCAUGCUCUGGAUGUCUCCUCCCCAAAUACAUGCAGCAAAAAGAAAAGACAAACUAAAAUUCUUCCUCCUCAGAGCUUUAUGCUCAUGCCCCUAUUCAAAACAAAUUCUACCAACUCCAGUCUUGCUCCAAAUUUGAAGUGUAGAAUCAAAACGAGGCUGGAGAGAUGGCUCAGUGGUUAGGAGCUUGUAUUGCUCUUCUUACAGAGGACUCCCGUUCGGCUCCUUUUGGGUUGUUCCUAAUGCCCGUCAACUCUACCUCCAGUCUCCUCCUGUCUCAAGGCACACCUGCGCUCACGGGCACAUACACGGACACACAUACACAUAACUAAAACAAAAAGAUCUUUUAAGUACAACUUUAGAUUUAAUUUACUCUGAAAUUCAGUCACCUGUCAUCCCCACCAUCCCUGGCUACUUUUAGAGUGAAGGCAGGGUGACAGUCGAUUUAUGACACUGGAUUAAAUACUUUGCAAUUUGCCUUGAAAUAUGCAGACAAGAGUGGUACUUACUAGCUUUUCAGAUCAUCCUAGAAAAAUCAGUGUUAAGCCUGAGAGGGAUUUCCAUGCUGUAUUCCUGACCAAGACCCUUCCCAAGCUUUCUAGCCCUCAAUAAUCCAACCUAAAGAUUAAAGAGACUGAGAAAAUGUUCUGUCAACAACCCCCUCAAAAAAUGUGUCUUAACUGAUACAACUACCAUUUUUGUGGUACUAACAAAUGUCUUGCUAUUUCUGAUUUUUAUGGUAGUUGACUUAAGAUAUCUUAAUUUGGUUUUAAGGAAAUCUGCAGGAAAAUCUGUUAAGUAGCAUUCUUGCUAAUUAUAAAAUACCCAUCUUGCUGAGAUGUGGUGUCGCAGGCCUUUAAACCCAGCACUCAGAAGGCAGAGGCAGGGGGAUCUCGAUGAGUGAGGCCAGCGUGGUCUAUCUAUACAGCAAGGUCCAGAGCAGCUGAGAUUACAUGAGACUCUAUCUCAAAAGACAAUGAACAAACCAACAAAAGCAAGCAUCUCCCUCCAGCUGUCCUAGCAGAAAGGAGGCAUCAGCUGGCUGGGAAGAGCGAGCGAACGCUCACACCGCCCUUGUUCUUCCAAGGAAACACGUCCUUCUUCCUCCGUUAGCGAAGCACAGAGAAGCUUGACAUCUCUAUAGACGAGAAAGAAUCUUAAACCCAUAUUUCUCCAUUUAGCCUGGCGUGCGGCACUACACCAGAAAAAGUGCUUAGCUUUCAACUGUCUCUUUAUGCAGGGAGAUGAGAAAAUACACUCUAUGGAAUUGCUUAUGCACGGAAUACUCGAUACUCGAGAGAGUAAUAAUAGCAACUAUGCUUCCUCUCAUGUGUGUUAGCUCUUUACUAGUAACAUUUUCUGACUGAAUCAUUUUAUUUAAAUACUGCAAAGUUUUUGUUUUUGUUUUUUUUUUUUUUUUGCUUAAAGUCAGGUCAAGUGAUAUAAUACCAAAAAAAAAUUUUUUUUUUUUGCUUUUUUUUUUCCCCUGCCUGCACAAUCUAUUUCUAGUCAAUGCAGUCUGUCAUCAAUCCAGAAAGAACUAAAUAGGGAAAUAAUAGUUUAUAGAAGUUCGCUUCCAAUUUCAGUCACUCCCAUUACUAACAUCUGAAAUGCUUGGCAGACUCACACUGACAGUGAGGUUGGGCAGCUGUGAUAAAAUCAUGACUAAACAGUUGCCAAAUCCACCUUCACUUACCUAGCCUCAUCAUUACCUCCCCCAACAAUGCCUCAAAAAAGAAACCCAGAUGAGUCAAAUACAAAUUUCAAAUAUAGGAGCUGAAAGUCAAAGCAGCCAGGCUUAGGAGCACCAGCUGUGGACACUGGCCGUCUUAUGCGUCCCCAGAGAGUAAAUAGCAUUUAUGCCAUCAGCUGGUUGGUUAUGCAAGAGUUGACCGGUAUGGGCAGGUAUGGGUAGGGCAUUUUGGAAAGCCUUGGAGCAAUAGUCACUCAGCAUUGAACUGCAAUGGCUUAUAAACAACCACUGACCACCCCUCCUGCCUAGAAACUCAUUUUACAGUUUCUUACCUAAGUUCUAGAAAAUUAAUCUUACACUUGGCAAAUUACACAUAAGCCAACUCUUCCUCUCAAGUUCACAUUCAUCUAUAAAGUCUAGUCCAGCCCAGUCCCAUCUUUGGGAUGUUAUCUGAUAGACAAGGUUGGGUGGCUUUUGUAAAAUGAAUUUGAAAAGUGCUGUUAAUUACAUUUUGAACAAAUUCCUUUAAUCAAGAUUUAUAUUUGGUGGGUAUAUGCCUUUAUCCUAGUACUCAGAAGGUAGAGGCAGGUAGAUCUCUUGAGUUUGAGGCCAACUUGGUCUACAGAGUUCCAAGACAGAGAAAUCCUGUCUCAAAAAAACAACAAAACAAAACAAACCCUUGAGUUUGUUUGAAGUAGGAUCUUUGUACGAACCCAGGCUGGCUCUGAAAUUCUGCUGUGGCUUCCCAAGUACUAGCACCACAGCUAGGUAACACCAUGAAGUCAUGGUCUUAUGGAGCCUCUGUGCCUGCUUUCUUCUUUGGUUCUAGGUAUUAAACUCAGGGCUUUAAACAGGAGUCCUACCAUUAAAUCUAUCCCUAGCCCUUACACUAUGGUAAUUUCCCUAGCAGGUAGAGGAGAAAGUACUUAGGAUGGGACAUUCUGUGGGAUGAAAAUUUGAUGGGACACACUGGCAAUUGAUGGUUUGGCUACAUGUUGUUUUGAAUGUUUAUUUUAUAUAUAUGGAUAUUUUAUCUGCAAACCAUGUGUGCCUGCUAGGAGAGUGUUAAAAGCUCCUGGGAUUGGAACUGUAGAUGGCUGUGAGCCAUAAUGUGGGUGCUGGGAAUUGAACCUGGCUCCUCUGCAAAAACAAUAAGUGCUUGCUUGCCCUUAAGCUCUGAGCCAUCUCUCCAUCCCACAUGUUGGGUUUUGUAAACCAGCUUGGUACCUGACUUUACAAUACUGACUCUAUGAAGAAAACAAAACAAAACAAAGCAAAGCAAAACAAAAAUAACAAAACAAAACCCUGGUUCACUGGCCAGGAAACCCUACUGUGAGAUAGAUCCAGGUCAGUAAUUUGGGUGGCCCCUGAGCAGUGACACAGCUGACCCCUGGUCUCUUCAUGUACACAUGCCCAAGAGAAUGAGCAUCUGGACCCCUCAGAACACAUACACCCACCCAAGCCAAAACAAAACCUCAAAACGACUUGAGCAACAACAUUCCUCCGUAUGCAUCCAUGACCUACAGUUACCUGUAGGGUACAAGUGCUAGAAAUGCAUUGUCUGUAUCUAAAACUGUAGGGAUCACAGACUAGAAAUUCUGGUUAGCUCUGUAGCCGAAAUCUGCCAUUUUGUAGGCACAAAGUAUCUGAAACUGAAGAGCUUUAACAAGAACAAUUUUCCUUACCUGCAAAGAGUAGAAUGCCUGCUUUCUAUAGCUUUGAGAAUUAGAAGGGGCCUAAUACAAUGCUGGGCUGGGCCACAGUAAACAGGAUCUCAAAAAACCCGGUAGUUAUCACUUCACCCUUUUUCUCUUCAUGAGAUUUAUACCACUGGUCGCCCAGGUUAGUCUCGCACUUGUGAUCCUCCAGCUCAACCCUCUAAGUAGUUGAAUUACAGAUAAAUACCACCACACCCAGCUUCUGCUAUCAGUUACAACACUGCCCAAGAUCUACCCUGGUACCCACAACACUUGGUUUAUGGAAUAUGGUGACAGCUAAUUAAAAAGAAAACAAAAUUUAGACAGGCAGUGGUGGCCCACAUCUUUAAUCUCAAUACUUGGAUCUCAAGAGUUCUAGAAACAUUGUUUUGAAAAAUGAGAAAGAGAGAGAGGCCAAUUUCAGAUUAUGUACAUGAUACUAUGCUUAGUGCAUGCCAACAAAAGGGAAAUAUUUAAAAAUGGAAGUUUAAGGGGAAAUAGCAUUUUGCUCUACCCUUCAACUUAAAAGUUGCUCUUACAUUAUCAUUCCAUUUACACUAAGGUGGCCCAUGCUUUAAAUUAUUAUCCCUACUGAUUUUGUGAUGGGUUAAUGAGUAAAUGGAAGUGAUAUAAUAGUGUUAAGCAGGGGAUGUAAUUUAAAAGUUGAAAGUAAGAAUUCAUCUACUGUGGCUAGAACAGACCAGUAAUAGAUAACUUUCUCCAAAGGGGGGAAAA